UUAGGUGGUAAUAGAUAUAUUCUUGAAACUUAAAAAAUUUGGCGGUAUUUUAGUCUAUUCAGAGGAACUUGUUCUAUAAUCGAUAAUCCACGAUGGACCUUACUUAAAUUUGUAAUCAGUUUAUAUACCGUCGUUAUUAAAAUAUUUUAUAAGAAAGUUAAUUUUUAAAAUUUUAAAAAGAAAAUAUAUCAGAUCAAGGUGUAGCUUAUAUUUAAGUAGAAAUGAGUUACAAUAAAAUUAUUUUUGGAUAUAAAUUUGAAAAAUUUAUUGAAAUUGGAUUUGAUAGUAAAAUUAUAAAGAUAAAUAAUUUGAUUUUAGCUCUAAAAUGUGU
rnacentral:rRNA from 1 species